GCACCUACCGAUUGAAUGGUUUAGUGAGGACUCCUGAUUGGCGCCGCCGCCCCGGCAACGGAGCAGCGGACUGCCGAAAAGUUGUUCAAACUUGAUCAUUUAGAGGAAGUAAAAGUCGUAACAAGGUUUUCGUAGGUGAACCUGCAGAAGGAUCAAGAUCGGAAGAGCGUCCUUGAGGGAAUGAGUGUAGAUUUCGGUGGUCGGCGGAUCAUUAAAAAACAAAUUGCAUCACUCUUCUAUCUUCUCUAUACUCCAUCCUUCUUACUCUCUUUCAUCU
rnacentral:misc_RNA from 1 species